rnacentral:rRNA from 1 species
UACGUAGGGGGCAAGCGUUGUCCGGAUUUACUGGGCGUAAAGAGCGCGCAGGCGGUCGGUCAAGUCGAGUGUGAAAGCCCCCGGCUCAACUGGGGAGGGUCACUCGAUACUGAUCGACUCGAAGGCAGGAGAGGGAAGUGGAAUUCCCGGUGUAGUGGUGAAAUGCGUAGAUAUCGGGAGGAACACCAGUGGCGAAGGCGACUUCCUGGCCUGUUCUUGACGCUGAGGCGCGAAAGCUAGGGGAGCAAACGGG